UACAGAGGGGGCAAGCGUUGUUCGGAAUUACUGGGCGUAAAGGGCGCGUAGGCGGCCUUCUAAGUCGAACGUGAAAUCCCCGGGCUCAACCCGGGAACUGCGUCCGAUACUGGAAGGCUUGAAUCCGGGAGAGGGAUGCGGAAUUCCAGGUGUAGCGGUGAAAUGCGUAGAUAUCUGGAGGAACACCGGUGGCGAAGGCGGCAUCCUGGACCGGCAUUGACGCUGAGGCGCGAAAGCCAGGGGAGCGAACAGG
rnacentral:rRNA from 1 species